UGUCCAUCCAGGGUCUUUAAGA
rnacentral:siRNA from 1 species